GGUGGCUUAGUGGUAGAGUGUUUGCCUUGCAAGCAUGAGGCCCUGGGUUCAAUUCCUCAGCACCA
rnacentral:tRNA from 1 species